rnacentral:rRNA from 1 species
UACAGAGGAUGCAAGCGUUAUCCGGAAUGAUUGGGCGUAAAGCGUCUGUAGGUGGCUUUUUAAGUCCGCCGUCAAAUCCCAGGGCUCAACUCUGGACAGGCGGUGGAAACUACCAAGCUGGAGUACGGUAGGGGCAGAGGGAAUUUCCGGUGGAGCGGUGAAAUGCGUAGAUAUCGAUAGGAACACCAGUGGCGAAGGCGGUCUCCUGGGGCAUUCUUGACGCUGAGGCGCGAAAGCUGGGGGAGCGAACGGG